GGAGGAUUCGCCUAGUCCGGUCUAUGGCGCCGCACUGCUAAUGCGGUUUGGGCUUACCGCCCAUCCGGGGUUCAAAUCCCCGAUCCUCCGCCU
rnacentral:tRNA from 1 species